GUAGGAGACGAGCGUUAUCCGGAUUUACUGGGUGUAAAGCGCGUGCAGGCGGUAUGGUAAGUUGGAUGUGAAAGCUCCUGGCUUAACUGGGAGAGGUCGUACAAGACUGCCAAACUAGAGGACGGCAGAGGGGAGUGGAAUUCCCAGUGUAGCGGUGAAAUGCAUAGAUAUUCGGAAGAACACCAGUGGCGAAGGCGGCUCUCUGGGCUGUACCUGACGCUCAGACGCGAAAGCUAGGGUAGCAAACGGGAUUAGAGACCCCGGUAGUCCUAGCCGUAAACGAUGUGAACUUGGCGUAGGAGGGUUCAAAUCCAUCUGUGCCGAAGCAAACGCGAUAAGUUCACCACCUGGGGACUACGGCCGCAAGGUUA
rnacentral:rRNA from 1 species